rnacentral:rRNA from 1 species
UGGCUGUCGUCCGCUCGUGUCGUGAGAUGUUGGGUUAAGUCCCGCAACGAGCGCAACCCUUGUCAUUAGUUGCUACAUUCAGUUGGGCACUCUAAUGAGACUGCCGGUGACAAACCGGAGGAAGGUGGGGAUGACGUCAAGUCCUCAUGGCCCUUAUAGGUGGGGCUACACACGUCAUACAAUGGCUGGUACAAAGGGUUGCCAACCCGCGAGGGGGAGCUAAUCCCAUAAAGCCAGUCGUAGUCCGGAUCGCAGUCUGCAACUCGACUGCGUGAAGUCGGAAUCGCUAGUAAUCGUGGAUCAG